rnacentral:ncRNA from 2 species
AAGCUUCGGUCGCGAAAACGUAAUUACCAUAUACUAAUGAAUUAAAAGGGAAUCUAGUGUAAUUCUAGAACUGUUCCCGCAACUGUAAACAACAUUACUCGCAAGAGAUGUUUCGAUUAUAGCCACUGGUUUAUCUGGGAAGGGAGAAACAUGUUGAAGUCAGGAGACCUGCCUCUAAUACCAAAUAAUG